rnacentral:rRNA from 1 species
UACGUAGGGCGCAAGCGUUAUCCGGAAUUAUUGGGCGUAAAGAGCUCGUAGGCGGUUUGUCGCGUCUGCCGUGAAAGUCCGGGGCUCAACUCCGGAUCUGCAGUGGGUACGGGCAGACUAGAGUGUGGUAGGGGAGACUGGAAUUCCUGGUGUAGCGGUGAAAUGCGCAGAUAUCAGGAGGAACACCGAUGGCGAAGGCAGGUCUCUGGGCCACUACUGACGCUGAGAAGCGAAAGCAUGGGGAGCGAACAGG